CGAGCGAACAGACGAGGAGCUUGCUCCUUUGACGUUAGCGGCGGACGGGUGAGUAACACGUGGGUAACCUACCUAUAAGACUGGGAUAACUUCGGGAAACCGGAGCUAAUACCGGAUAAUAUUUCGAACCGCAUGGUUCGAUAGUGAAAGAUGGCUUUGCUAUCACUUAUAGAUGGACCUGCGCCGUAUUAGCUAGUUGGUAAGGUAACGGCUUACCAAGGCAACGAUACGUAGCCGACCUGAGAGGGUGAUCGGCCACACUGGAACUGAGACACGGUCCAGACUCCUACGGGAGGCAGCAGUAGGGAAUCUUCCGCAAUGGGCGAAAGCCUGACGGAGCAACGCCGCGUGAGUGAUGAAGGUCUUCGGAUCGUAAAACUCUGUUAUUAGGGAAGAACAAACGUGUAAGUAACUGUGCACGUCUUGACGGUACCUAAUCAGAAAGCCACGGCUAACUACGUGCCAGCAGCCGCGGUAAUACGUAGGUGGCAAGCGUUAUCCGGAAUUAUUGGGCGUAAAGCGCGCGUAGGCGGUUUUUUAAGUCUGAUGUGAAAGCCCACGGCUCAACCGUGGAGGGUCAUUGGAAACUGGAAAACUUGAGUGCAGAAGAGGAAAGUGGAAUUCCAUGUGUGGCGGUGAAAUGCGCAGAGAUAUGGAGGAACACCAGUGGCGAAGGCGACUUUCUGGUCUGUAACUGACGCUGAUGUGCGAAAGCGUGGGGAUCAAACAGGAUUAGAUACCCUGGUAGUCCACGCCGUAAACGAUGAGUGCUAA
rnacentral:rRNA from 1 species